CUUUAGUUUAUUCUCAAAUGUGCCUCAUGUGGAUCCCUAAAGCCAACACAGCCAGUAGUUAUAUUUAAUAUAUGUUGCAAAGGGUUGAAUCAAACUGCAUCACCUACUUUAUAACUAAUGUUUCCUCAUUGUGUUUCAUCUGUUAUUCAUCUGAAACUCAUCUGCAAUUUUAAAAUGAAAUGUAAAAUGUGUUCAUAUCUCCUCCAGAUGCUCCAAAGCUUCCCUCUGUGUCAGUGAGUCCUUCUGCUGAGAUAGUGGAGGGCAGUUCAGUGACUCUGACCGGUAGCAGUGAUGCUAACCCAGCAGCUACUUGUACCUGGUACAAGAGCAAUGGAGAUGGAGUGACUUGCAGCUCUACUGAGAUCUGUGCCUUAAAAGGAUCAACAGUAGACAUUAGCUGCAGCUACAGAUACCCAUCCUCUGUAAAGAGAGCUGAGAACAGAUUUUGGUUCAGGACAGUGCAGAAUGAGAAUUAUGUGGAUCUGAAAAAUGAAGCGAGGUAUUUAAGUUGUGUGCAGUAUAACUGUGGUAACAACGACUGCACUCUGAGAAUCACAGACCUGAGAGAGACUGAUGGACUGUUUGCGCAUGCGCAGUGUGUUCGACACUUUCUGUGCAGUUUAGUUGAGUUUAUCUUCCACCGAUCGUCAGCGCUCUUCUUUAUUCCUUUGUGCAACAGUGUGCGUCGGUGAUGAUGUAAGUUACGUGAUGAGUGGAUAUUGUUUAUAUUUCAUAUGUGAUGAGAGCUAAUAUUACCAGGUUACUAAACUCGGUUUGCUUGUUAGCUUACCAUUUAGCAUGUAUUACUGAACCCCAUGACACAUAGACGGCCCAACAUGUAACUCAGUUAAUUACCAUACAUUUCAUUUUCUUCUGUGACUGUUUAUUUAGCGGUGUAGCUGUCCUUCAUUGAGGCUGCUAUCAUAUUGAUGCUAGCGUGUCAAAUUGACCAGACCGGUAGCUGCAUGGGCUGUCUCAGCUUAGCUUGGUCACGUGACCGGCUUGUUGCGCCAAGCUGUAGUGUUGUUUAAUGAUCUUACACUGACCCCUAUUGGUGAUUUGCAGUAUGACACCUUAUUCAUGUCUAUUGUAAUGAAUGUUAUUUUAUUAAUGCCACUGUAUUGUAGGUUAAUUGUUAUUAAUAUAGUUUAUUGUUGUUGUCCUCUGCAGACAUCACAAACCACACACAUACAAAUACUACAGUGUCCUGAUCAUUUGGAUAGAAGAUAAUAAAGUCAUCUAAAGGGAAGAAGUUGUUGCGUCUUCUCUGACCGGAGGACUAGGCCAGUAUAUAUACAGCCAGCAUAUCAUCACCGAAGCUGUUCCGUAACACUGCAUGUAACCACUAACAAUAGUUGAAACGAACACCACCUGUCAUUGAGAAUGUGACAUGAGAAACAUGAACUAAGAAUGUUUGUUCCUCAACAGUGACUGUUACGCGAUCACUGGGUGUGACCUGUGAAGACGAUGCUAUAAAUGUUGCUGUUUAAUAUGAUUCUGUGGAGAUCUGCAGAGACAGCCUUACAACCUGUUACUUUGUAUGAUUGCUCCCCUUGCUGC
ensembl:lncRNA